rnacentral:rRNA from 1 species
AAUGGCGUCGGAGACAACGUCUCCCUUUUUCGGGGCGGCCCCGCAGGUUGUGCAUGGUUGUCGUCAGCUCGUGUCGUGAGAUGUUGGGUUAAGUCCCGCAACGAGCGCAAACCCUGUCCCGUGUUGCCAGCGCGUCGUGGCGGGGACUCUCGGGAGACUGCCGGGGUCAACUCGGAAGAGGGUGGGGACGACGUCAAAUCAUCAUGCCCCUGACGUCCUGGGCUUCACGCAUGCUACAAUGGCCGGUACAGAGGGUUGCGAUGCCGCGAGGCGGGGCGAAUCCCUUAAAGCCGGUUCGGUCUCAGUUCGGAUCGGUGUCUGCAACUCGACACCGUGAAGUCGGAGUCGCUAGUAAUCGCAGAUCAGCACUGCUGCGGUGAAUACGUUCUCGGGCCUUGUACACACCGCCCGUCACGUCAUGAAAGUCGGCGACGCCCUAAGCCCGUGGCCCCAUGGGGAGCGGUCGAAGGCGGGGGCUCUAUUGACGAAGUCGUAACAAGGUAGCUCAG